GAUGAACGCUGGCGGCGUGCCUAAUACAUGCAAGUAGAACGCUGAAGCUUGGUGCUUGCACCGAGCGGAUGAGUUGCGAACGGGUGAGUAACGCGUAGGUAACCUGCCUGGUAGCGGGGGAUAACUAUUGGAAACGAUAGCUAAUACCGCAUAACAGUAGAUAUUGCAUGAUAUCUGCUUGAAAGGUGCAAAUGCAUCACUACCAGAUGGACCUGCGUUGUAUUAGCUAGUUGGUGAGGUAACGGCUCACCAAGGCGACGAUACAUAGCCGACCUGAGAGGGUGAUCGGCCACACUGGGACUGAGACACGGCCCAGACUCCUACGGGAGGCAGCAGGAGGGAAUCUUCGGCAAUGGGGGGAACCCUGACCGAGCAACGCCGCGUGAGUGAAGAAGGUUUUCGGAUCGUAAAGCUCUGUUGUAAGGGAAGAACGAGUGUGAGAGUGGAAAGUUCACACUGUGACGGUAUCUUACCAGAAAGGGACGGCUAACUACGUG
rnacentral:rRNA from 1 species